GGGGCUGUGGCGCAGUUGGGAGCGCGCUUGAAUGGCAUUCAAGAGGCCAGGGGUUCAAAUCCCCUCAGCUCCACCA
rnacentral:tRNA from 1 species